UGACAUGUUUCUCUGAGCUACUCCCUGCCCAUCAAUACCUUUAAAUUCGACACCAACUUCGCUUUCUUUCCCACGCCGUAUCUUUGAUUUCCUUUUGCCGAGAGUUCAUCAAAUCCCGGCUUUUCAUCUUCCUGCUUGCCAGCUUAAUCCAUCGACUCGACUUCCUUUCGCUGAUUCAGAUGGAAUGAUCCAAUAAGGUCCCUUGUUGAACUGAGACGAGGCAGAGAGACGGGCACGCGGGAUUGAUCGACAAGAAGGAGGCGGAAAUGCGUGAAGACGAUUUGGUGGAUGUAAAGUUCAGAUUGUUCGAUGGAUCGGACAUGGGUCCCUUCCAGUACUCAUCGGCACCCACCAUCGAGAUGUUGAAGCAGAGAGUUGUCUCCGAUUGGCCCAAAGUUUUUGUUGCCCUUUCGACCGAUGAUGAUUCCCUAUAUGUCCUCUCCCAUGGCAUCCUCAGCUCCUCAAUAUGAUGUGACCUCAUUAUCAGAUACAUAUAAUACAGCUCUCAAUAUUCCACAGGAAGUCACAUCAAAGCUCCCUGCAACUUCUCAAUCACAUACUUCUUUGGGUGAUAUCUCUCUUGAAUCACAUGGGAUUAUUCCAUCCGUUGCACUAAUUCCUCAUCGACGUUCCGAUCAUACUACAUGACCACCCAUAUGGACAACAGAUUAUAUUUGUCCUAUCUUUGAGUCAUCUAGUAGACAAUAUCCCAUCUCAUCACAUGUUAUACUCACCUUUCACCUAAAAUAUGUGCUGCCUGAGUAGAAUAUUUGAAGGACAAGAACCAUCUUCAUAUGAUGAAUCUACAAAAGAUCCUUGUUAGCAGCAAGCAAUGGUGGAUGAAUUACAAGCCCUAAUAGCAAAUAAAACUUGGGAUAUCAUUCCUAUACCCCUCAUCGGAAAAUCUAUGAGUGGGUACACAAAAUCAAAUACAAGAUAGAUGGUUCCAUUGAACCUUAUGAGACAGGAUUAGUAGCCAAAAGGUUCACUCGGCAAGAAGGUUUUGAUUAUAUUGAAACGCCCUCUCCAGUAGUGAAGGAAGUCACCGUCCAUUCCUUCUUUUCCGCUUUUCGUGAUUGGCCCAUUCGUCAAAUGGAUAUUCGUAAUGCAUUUUUCAUGGGGAUCUUAAAGAUGAAAUCCACAUGGACCUUUCACUGGAUUUACGCGGACAAUGAGAGAAUAAUGUAUGUUAUUUCUGUAAAUUCCUAUAUGGACUUAAACAAGUUUCUUAUCAAUGUUAUGCCGACAUUGAUUA